GAGGCCUCCGUGUAGGCAGCAGUGAAGCCUGAACUCCAGUAGGGCCCAAGCCAGCCAGGAAGGAGGAGGCAGCCAGAGAGGCCUCCACCGUUCUCUGCAGCAGAAGACCCCCUGCUGCCAGGUUUGAAUGUCAGCUUGACCUCAACUACAAUCUGACCUUCACAAACCACAUUAAGAUGCCAUUUUGGAUGCCUGGGGCCUCUGGUGCAAUAAAGCUACAGUGAAGACACUGACCUCUCAACAUCCUGGAGACCUCCAGUUAUUUUUAUAAUGGGCCCCAAACUCACCAGUUUUAAUUCUGAAAAUGCUUUCAUCCUAGUCAGCACCCAGGAUUCCAGCCUGGACACUGGCUAUGAUGGAACUCUGUGAUAUCUCUACAUUGGAGGAGGAACUGACUUCAUAGCCACAUCUCAGCCGUGGUAAGACUUAAAAAACAACAACAACAACAACAAAACAAUGGUGCUUUGGCGGGGCAGGGCAGGUAUCAUCGGCAUGCUGGAAGACUCCGAGGAGGAAUUGGAGAUUGAGACAGAGCAAACAGCAGAUGAGGGUGGGCAAGGACCAGAGCUUGCUAAGGAGAGUGGGUCUGCCAUACAGAGAAUAGAAGAAGAAUUACAGCUAGGUGAGGCAGCUCUUGUGGAGGAGGUGCAACCAAUCCCAGCUGUGGAGAGGUGCCGAUCCAAAAGACAACAAGAGCUAAAAAUUCCCAUGCAUAAAACAGGCAAAGCUACUGACUCAGCAAUUCUUAAUUGACAGCACCGGGGGGCUCAGCCUAUUUAAAAAGCCUGUAACAGAACUUCCCUGCUGAUAGCAACAACAGUUUCUUCCGUGCUACCUUAUUGCAUUCCUGUGUUUUUCCUUGAAAGUGUUUAGACCUUGGACUGACUGACCUUGCCUCUGGAUUUCGCUUUGGACCUUGUUGAAUUUUGGAUUGAUGGACUGGUUUGGACAAUUUAUUCCCAUAGAAGUUUGUUAUUCUCCUUAUGCUUCUGGCUGCGUAUGGCUAAGCCCGGCAGAUUAGCAGGCUCCCCCAGAGGAGGUUUGUGGGGGGGCCUCAUGGGGGGGGGCUCAUGGCUGGGCGGUUCAGGCAUGCAAAUUACCUUGGUGCAUCCCUGUGUUCACCUUCAUGGAGCCAAAUUAGACAUGUGAUGCUAAGCAUGGAGCUGCUGCAACCAAAAAUGGUACAUAGAAAUCUAGUUCCUCAUUCCCUUUGUAAAAAAUAUCUAGCAGAAGUUAGUUGCUCAUAUCCUGAGGUUCUGCAUUUGCCCGCCCUCUGCUAGUGACAGCCAAUGACUUGGAGGCAGUGCAAGGCAAGGCAAGAAGUUGUGACAGCAGCCAUUAAUUUCUUAUAAAUGUUAUGUAGGAGAGUUGGAUGUGCAGCUACCAAUUUUGGUAGCAGCAGAUGCAUGGUUGCAUAUUAUUUGUUUAAACUGAUUUUGUAAAGAUUUAACUGCUCUCAUGUCAUUUCUCAGUUAAAGAUUUAUCUUCUCUCAUGCCA